CAAGAUUGUGCCAAACAAAGAGUAUAGUGACUGUGAAUGGUAAGAUCCCUGGGCCUCGCAUCAUAGCAAGGGAAGGGGAUAGGCUUUUAAUUAAGGUCGUCAACCAUGUUCAGUAUAAUGUCACCCUGCAUUGGCAUGGAGUGAGGCAACUAAGGAGCGGAUGGGCAGAUGGACCUGCCUACAUCACACAGUGUCCAAUUCAAACAGGACAGACCUACGUUUACAAUUUCACAGUAACUGGCCAAAGAGGAACAUUGUUCUGGCAUGCUCACAUCUCUUGGCUUAGAGUGACUCUAUAUGGUCCCAUCAUCAUCCUCCCUAAAAAACAUGUUUCUUACCCAUUUCCCCACCCUCACAAAGAAAUCCCUAUCAUUUUUGGGGAAUGGUGGAAAGCAGACACAGAGACAAUUAUUAACCAAGCAAUGCAAACAGGAGGAGCACCCAAUAUCUCUGAUGCCUUCACAAUCAAUGCUCUUCCAGGACCAUUAUAUAACUGUUCUGCUAAAGAUACAUUCAAGCUCAAGGUGAAGCCUGGAAAAACCUAUCUCCUUCGUUUAAUUAAUGCUGCACUCAACGAUGAGCUCUUCUUCAGCAUCGCAAACCACACUCUCACUGUUGUUGAAACUGAUGCUGUCUAUGUCAAACCCUUUAAGACCCAGAUUGUACUCAUCACUCCUGGACAAACCACAAAUGUGCUGCUCCAAGCCAAAGCCACUGCACCUAAUGCCACCUUCGUAAUGGCUGCUAGGCCUUACGCUACCGGUCCCGCUGCUUUUGAUAACACAACCACCUCUGGUAUUCUCGAAUAUGACAAUCCUUCUGUUUCAAGCUCCAAGAAGAAGAAGCAUCCCCUUCUUAAACCAUCACUUCCAGUGUUUAAUGAUACCACAUUUUCCAUGAAGUUCGCCAAAAAAGUUCGUAGCUUGGCUACCGCAAAAUUCCCAGCUAAAGUCCCCCAAGAGGUUGAUAGACGUUUCUUUUUCACAGUUGGGCUGGGGAUACUCCCUUGCUCCCAAAACCAAACCUGUCCCAACAAUACGAGAGUAGCGGCUUCAAUUAACAAUGUGUCGUUUGUGCAACCAAACAUAGCCCUUCUCCAAGCUCACUUCUUUAACCAAUCAAAGGGCGUGUACACAACUGAUUUCCCAGCCAAUCCACCUUUGAAAUUCAACUAUACAGGGACACCACCAAGCAAUAUCAUGGCAACUACUGGGACAAAGGUGGUGGUGUUGCCUUUUAAUUCGAGCGUGGAGCUGGUGAUGCAGGAUACUAGCAUUAUUAGUGCAGAGAGCCAUCCUCUUCAUCUCCAUGGCUUCAAUUUCUUUGUCGUUGGACAAGGUUUUGGCAACUUCAACUCCAGUAAGGACCCUGCCAAAUUCAACCUUGUUGACCCUGCGGAGAGAAAUACUGUAGGUGUGCCUUCUGGCGGUUGGGUGGCCAUACGGUUCCUUGCAGACAACCCAGGUGUUUGGUUUAUGCACUGCCAUCUGGAAGUUCACACCAGCUGGGGCUUGAAGAUGGCUUGGGUUGUCAUGGACGGGAUAAGACACAAUCAAAAGCUGCCACCUCCACCUUCUGAUCUUCCCAAAUGUUAAUUUUGUAAUUUUAUACGUGUUUUCCACAUUCUUUUAUCUUUUCAUUCACUGUCCUUUUCUUCCCCAGAAAGAAAGAGAGAGUGCAACGCUGUUUUCAUUUGCACUUUCCAUUAUGUGCCAACUGCACUGUAUCCCACAAAAUGAAAGUGGGUGGAGCUUUGAUUAAUUUGCUAGGCUGGUAAUAUUACUCACUUAAUUACCAAUGAUAGAUACAUGCAUAAAUAUUCAUAUUUGUAAUUUUU
rnacentral:misc_RNA from 1 species